UGGGGAAUGUUUCACAAUGGGGGAAACCCUGAUGCAGCGACGCCGCGUGAGCGAAGAAGGUUUUCGAAUCGUAAAGCUCUGUCCUAUGAGAAGAUAAUGACGGUAUCAUAGGAGGAAGCCCCGGCUAAAUACGUGCCAGCAGCCGCGGUAAUACGUAUGGGGCGAGCGUUGUCCGGAAUUAUUGGGCGUAAAGGGUACGUAGGCGGUCUAUUAAGUCAGGUGUGAAAGCGUGAGGCUUAACCUCAUUAAGCACUUGAAACUGAUAGACUUGAGGGAAGGAGAGGAAAGUGGAAUUCCUAGUGUAGCGGUGAAAUGCGUAGAUAUUAGGAGGAAUACCGGUGGCGAAGGCGACUUUCUGGACUUUUACUGACGCUCAGGUACGAAAGCGUGGGGAGCAAACAGG
rnacentral:rRNA from 1 species